rnacentral:tRNA from 1 species
ACAUGGCUGGCUCAGUUGGCAGAGCAUGUGACUCUUGAUCAUGGGUCAUGGGUUUGAGCCCCAUGUUAGCUG